rnacentral:rRNA from 1 species
UGGGGAAUAUUGGACAAUGGGCGAAAGCCUGAUCCAGCCAUGCCGCGUGUGUGAAGAAGGUCUUCGGAUUGUAAAGCACUUUAAGUUGGGAGGAAGGGCAGUUACCUAAUACGUGAUUGUUUUGACGUUACCGACAGAAUAAGCACCGGCUAACUCUGUGCCAGCAGCCGCGGUAAUACAGAGGGUGCAAGCGUUAAUCGGAAUUACUGGGCGUAAAGCGCGCGUAGGUGGUUAGUUAAGUUGGAUGUGAAAUCCCCGGGCUUAACCUGGGAAUUGCAUUCGAUACUGCUUGGCUAGAGUGUGGAAGAGGGAAGCGGAAUUUCCGGUGUAGCGGUGAAAUGCGUAGAUAUCGGAAGGAACACCAGUGGCGAAGGCGGCUUCCUGGUCCAACACUGACGCUGAGGCGCGAAAGCGUGGGGAGCAAACAGGAUUAGAUACCCCAGUAGUCCCUGAGCGGGCUGGCAAGGCGCAU